UACGUAGGGGGCGAGCGUUGUCCGGAUUCAUUGGGCGUAAAGCGCGCGUAGGCGGCAGGGCAAGUCGGCCGUGAAAUCUCCCAGCUUAACUGGGAGGGGUCGGGCGAGACUGCCCCGCUAGAGGCGGGUAGAGGGCAGUGGAAUUCCGGGUGUAGUGGUGGAAUGCGUAGAGAUCCGGAGGAACACCAGUGGCGAAGGCGGCUGCCUGGGCCUGGCCUGACGCUGAGGCGCGAAAGCGUGGGGAGCGAGUCCGG
rnacentral:rRNA from 1 species